rnacentral:rRNA from 1 species
CCUACGGGAGGCUGCAGUGGGGAAUAUUGGACAAUGGGCGAAAGCCUGAUCCAGCCAUGCCGCGUGUGUGAAGAAGGCCUUCGGGUUGUAAAGCACUUUCAGUGGGGAAGAAAGCCUUGGGGCUAAUACCCUCGAGGAAGGACAUCACCCACAGAAGAAGCACCGGCUAACUCCGUGCCAGCAGCCGCGGUAAUACGGAGGGUGCGAGCGUUAAUCGGAAUUACGGGGCGUAAAGCGCGCGUAGGCGGUCUGAUAAGCCGGUUGUGAAAGCCCCGGGCUCAACCUGGGAACGGCAUCCGGAACUGUCAGGCUAGAGUGCAGGAGAGGAAGGUAGAAUUCCCGGUGUAGCGGUGAAAUGCGUAGAGAUCGGGAGGAAUACCAGUGGCGAAGGCGGCCUUCUGGACUGACACUGACGCUGAGGUGCGAAAGCGUGGGUAGCAAACAGGAUUAGAUACCCUGGUAGUC